rnacentral:rRNA from 1 species
GACGUAGGGCGCGAGCGUUGUCCGGAUUUAUUGGGCGUAAAGAGCUCGUAGGCGGUUUGUCGCGUCUGCUGUGAAAACUCGGGGCUUAACCCCGGGCCUGCAGUGGGUACGGGCAGACUAGAGUGCGGUAGGGGAGACUGGAAUUCCUGGUGUAGCGGUGGAAUGCGCAGAUAUCAGGAGGAACACCGGUGGCGAAGGCGGGUCUCUGGGCAGUAACUGACGCUGAGGAGCGAAAGCGUGGGGAGCGAACAGG